rnacentral:lncRNA from 1 species
AGAUAUUGAAAUUUCCAUAAAAUGACAUCGUUAAUCUCACAAUUCAGAAAGUGUAAAAGAAAACAUUGACGCCGUGACGCAAUGACUUCCAUUAUAUGAUUUUUUGGUGCGUGAACGCGUGUUGUCCCUGUUUUUAUAUCCCCUUUUCUAAGUGUGCUGAGACACCUGUCAGAAGUGAUAAAAUCAGCGAGCGUUAACUGCAAUCGAACUGUUAAUGGGACAUUAACGGAACUUUUGUUUUUUAUUUGCAGAACAUUCGCUUGGAUACCUACAAUAGAUCCUGUAUCAUCACGAAUAUCAGAGAAAUCGAAGGAAAGUGAAUAAUAAUCAUCAGAAGAUUGUUAAAAGAUUAUGACCAAAGUUUUCAAGUAAUAGAAAAUGAAGUUAAUCAUUCUGCUGUUACUGGUCAGUUUAGUUUCUUGUAAGCCCUGGCUUGAUCUAUGGUUUCCUCAGCAGUCUUACGACAAUCAAAAUACCGGAUACUAUGCAAACGGCCCGUAUCGUCAAAGUAGAGGUGGUAAGGAGCGCUGGAAACAAAUUUGCAGGACUAUAAAUGCGGAUUCAUAUGCGUUCCCAGGACGCGUGCCUUAUCCUGCCGCACCUGUUUGUCCAUGGUAAAGGAAAUUUCCGAUCGGAUUUCUGAUUUGUCGUGCCAAACGCAAGUUAGAACGUAUCGUGCGUUAAAAAUAUGAAUUUAUUGUAACAACGUAGUUUUAGACAGUAUACGUCCACCGGUUAUGAGUAUUUCAGUCAGUAUGCGUGUACGUAUGUGUCCGUGACAAUGCUAGCAAACAUAAUGCUAGUAUACAUACAAAUAUUCAUGAUUACAUAUAGCUACGUAUGCGUUCAUCAACUAAAGUACGAAGUGAGGAGAUAAUUGUCCGCCAAUUGCAUCUUUUUGUAUGCGAACUUUAUUACUCCUCGCUUCUCGGUCCGUAUUCGCACUUGUUAAAUAUAAAAACAAGAAAAAGAAAUUAGGAACCGUAUCGUACUAUCAAAAAUAAUUUUCAGAGUCCAAACAAACAAAGCUAAAGAAUACGAUCGAAAGCUGUAAAAAUGUAGUUUCUAGAUUUCUUUUUCAGACAUUUUAAAAGUGUUCUAUCAUGCAAAGUCACUUCAUCUCAGUAUAACUUUUAUUUACCUUUCAGUUAAAUUUUUAGUGCGCGUACAGACCCACUAAAUAUCUGCUAACUUACAGUUCAAAGACUUAUCUAUCGAUCUGUGUAACAUCGACUUUCUAAGUCAUCACCAUCUAUCUACAAAUCAGUAAUACUCCAAGCUCUCUCUCUCUCUCUCUCUCUCUCUUCUUAUCUUACGUAUAAAAAUAAGCUAUAUACAUUAUAUAUGUUACAUUGUAAUGUAAGUUUACGUUCAAAUUUUCUAAAAAAACAAAAAUGCACGCCUUCGUAGCACAAUUGUAAUCAUAGUCUUAAAUAUCAUGUAUAUUACAUACUUUAUAUACAGUCCAGGAUCACAGAGUUCGGUACAGCACGGCUGUGUUGUGUGUACGUUGAUGCUUGUAGUUUAAAGAAGCAAUAAAAGCCAUUUUAAUAUUA